GUUCCUCAGACGAUCCCGUCCUCCUCCCAGGGACGUCUGUUCGAACACCGGCUCUCCUCCUCCCAGCCCGUGUUCGGUAUAUUCGGAAAAGCCUGCUGCACCUCCUCCCGCAGCAGGCUUUUUCC
rnacentral:sRNA from 1 species